GACCGUUUUUCAUAAAGUUAUGACUCAACAAGCUAUGACGUAAACAAUAAGUUUGAAAAUAUCGUUUUAAAGCGAUUGGAAUCACUGCUGAGGCGCAGGCGUGGCUGUAUCGUAAGAAGUUUGCUUCCCAGCCACAAGACUCCAGCUUCAAUACCAUUGUGUGACAUUUCGGUGAUGUGUCUUCGAAUACAGUUUUGGGCACAAAUCUACAAGUUUGAGGAGGCUAGUUGAUUCC
rnacentral:lncRNA from 1 species